UUAAUAUUUAUUUAUUAAUAUUUUUGUUUAUUAAUAUAAUUUUAUUAAAAAUAAUUAUAAAAUUUUAUGUUUUAGUAUUUUAUAUAGAAAAAAUAAUUUUAAUUAUAGUGUAAUAGUAUUGUUAAAGAAAAUUUAAAUAAUUGAAAAAUUUUUAUUUUAAAAGAAAAUUUAAUUUAUUGUACCUUGUGUAUCAGGGUUUAUUAAUUAAAAAUUAUUUAUAUAAUUUUCUCGAUUUUAAAAGAGUUAAUAUAUUAUAAAAGUUAUUGUAAUAAAAUUAUUUUUAAUAAUAUAUUAGAAAUGAAAUGUUAUUCGUUUUUAAAGGUAUCUAGUUUUUUAAGAAAUAAAUUUAAUUUAAAAAUUUUAUAUUAUUUAGUUAAAUUUUUUAAUUAAAUAAAUAUUUAAUUUUAAUAUUUUAUGGGAUAAGCUAUAAAAUAAAAUUUUAAAAAUUAUUGAAUAAAUAUUAAAUAUAUAAAUUUAGAAAUAGUUAUUAUUAAUAAAAAUGUUAUAAUUUAUUUUAUAAUUUAAAUUAUUUAUUAAAAUUUUAAAUUUUUAUUAAAAUAUUUAUUUUAAUUAUUUAAAUAAAAUUAUAAUGAUAAAAUUAGUAUAUUAUAAUUUUAAAAAUAUAUAAAAUUGAAAAGUUUUUAUAAAGAAUUAGGCAAAUUAUAUAUUCACCUGUUUAACAAAAACAUGUCUUUUUGAUUUAUUUUUAAAGUCUAACCUGCCCAUUGAAUAAAAUAUUAAAAGGCCGCAGUAUUCUAACUGUGCAAAGGUAGCAUAAUCAUUAGUCUUUUAAUUGAAGGCUGGAAUGAAUGGUUGCAUGAAAUAUUAACUGUUUCAUAUUAAUUUUUAAUAAAAUUUUAUUUUUUAGUUAAAAAGCUAAAAUUUAUUUAAAAGACGAGAAGACCCUAUAAAUCUUUAUAUCUUAUUUAUUAUUAAUUUUUAGAAAUUUUUAUUAAUAAUAAAUUGUGUUAUUUUAUUGGGGUGAUAUUAAAAUUUAAUAAACUUUUAUUUAUUUAUAACAUUUAUUUAUGAAUAAUUGAUCCGUUAUUAACGAUUAAAAAUUUAAGUUACUUUAGGGAUAACAGCGUAAUUUUUUUGAAGAGUUCUUAUCAAUAAAAAAUAUUGCGACCUCGAUGUUGGAUUAAGAUAUAAUUUUAGGAGUAGAAGCUUAAAAUUUAAGUCUGUUCGACUUUUUAAUUCUUACAUGAUCUGAGUUCAAACCGGUGUAAGCCAGGUUGGUUUCUAUCUUUAAAAAAUAAUUAUAUUUCAGUACGAAAGGACCUAAUAUAAAAUAAAUUAUUAUUAUUAUUUUCUUGAAUAUAAUUAAUA
rnacentral:rRNA from 1 species